GCCGUAUCCCGCAUAACAAUGAUGACGAUGUCCACCGCGCACCAAUGCCUUAAGUCGAAUAACAGUGCGACUACGGAGCGGCGGCGGCAGCAGUACAUUCCAUAUCUUCGCUGCGGCGAAUUUGAAACUGCCGCGGAACGCGGCGGUGCGACAGCGCGGCAGGACUAGCGACCAAGCUGACGCUCUAGUGAACGCUGCCUUCACGUCGCGAGACCACACCAACUCCUCAGCCAGAUAAGACGGGACUCUGUAUUUUAUAACCCCAAAGAGAAGUGUAGCCAAGUGCAGAUCUCUUCGCGUUUUCAUCUUUAAAAUAUUAGCGUUGUUUAUGUAAGGGGUUACGUGCGUGCGUGGUGGUAUAUUAAAACAAAACCUUGCGCAGGCGUUCUGCACUCGCUGUAUUAUUUGUUGUGUGCGCUUCAACAGCCGCGGUCCAUACACCACAUCCAUAUAAUUAAAUUGUGAGAGAACUAAUGAGUCACACAAUUUAAUGCGAAUGUCAGCAUUAAUGUAAUUCCUGAUGUUAUAUAAUACCUUUAACCUAUAAAAACAAUUUCUGACGAUGCCUAACACAAUGUUCUCAAAAUGGAGCGUUUCAUCCAUAAGGAGACCAAGAUUCCGAGCCUCACUAACUCGCUCAAUGUUUUCGCCCCUGAUCGCUAGAGUAACAUUACGACUUUCAAUUUUCACUAUUUGCUUUCUUGUACCUAGCACCAUAUAUUUGGAUUUACUGCUAUUUAGCACUAACGCAUUUGAUUCUGCCAUAACGCUAUUCGUUCUAAAUCCUCGUUUAACUUAUUCACAGAAUCAAGAGUAUCACAUGGCUUGCAUGAUAUAUAAAUCUGUAUAUCAUCAGCGUACAUAUGAUACUUACAGAAUUUAAUUUGAUUUAUCACAUCCGCGCUGUAGAUUAUAAAGAGUAUAGGGCCUAAAAUUGAACCUUGUGGCACUCCGCGCGUGACGUCACGUGUUUUCGAUAGUAAUUUAGAACCACUCUGAUCAGAAAUUUCGACACACUGAGAUCGGUUUUGCAGAUAACUGUCGAACCAUUUGAUUGUGGAGUCAGCAAAUCCAUAGUAAUGUAAUUUAGAUAGUAGCAGGUUAACAUCAAUGCAGUCGAAGGCUCUAGAGAAGUCCAGUACCGUCAGCAAGGUGCCCUGUCCAUUGUCUUGUGCGGAUAGGAUGUCAUCAACUACUUUGAUCAUAGCGGUUGUCGUACUAUGUUUUUUUCUAAAUCCAGAUUGUACGGUGGGAAGGAUUUCGUUACUUUCUAGAAAGUCUGUUACUUGUUUUACCACAAGUGACUCCAGGACCUUCGAUACACAAGGCAGUAUGCUUAUAGGCCGAAUAUCUCUCAAGGUGGAUGGGUUAUUACUUUUAGGAAUGGGCCGUAUGACUGCAUGCUGCCAGUCCGUUGGGAACGUAUUGGUUUCAAUAGAUCUGUUCACCAUAGCCGUAAUAACAGGUAGUAUGACAGGCAAAGACAACAGCAACAUGUCCAGUGAAAUCCCAUCGAGACCAACCGCGUUUGACUUCAAUGACCAUAUGAUUUGGAGGACUUCAAUUUCUUCUACUGUCUUAAGUGAUAAUUUUGUGGUGAUAUUACAAUUUUGCUUAAAAUAUGUCAUGUUUGAUUGUGAUGUCUGUAGACUACCGGGCACAUUUAGAAAAUGGUCGUUGAUUAAGUCAGGAUCGUUAAAGAUGUGUGUAGGUAGCUCCGGUUUUCUUUUUAUGUUAACAUUUUUUUUAUAUGUGCCCAUAACACUCGAGAAUCUUUUUUUUUUAUUUAUAAUAAGCAUUUUUUUCAGUUGUCAAUACUUCAUUGACAAUUUUUUUAGAUCCCUAUAAUAAGACUUUUGCGAGUCAUUGCCGCUGGUCCGUGCUGCAGUAUGUGCCUCAUCACGACGUUUCAUAAGUUGUUUCACGUUAUAGGUAAUCCACGGGUACUGGCGCUGUGUGACAUGUAACAUCCGAAGGGGUGCAUGAACAUCAAAUAACCCCACCAAACGUCCACUGAAUUGCCUCACCAUGUCAUUGAUAUCCUCUAUGCGGCUUACACUCAUCCAAUCUAUGGUAGACAGAUCCACAUUGAACUGUUCAUAGUCGAUAGUAUGAAGAUUUCUGCGAAUUAUCCGUAUUGGUACCUGUUUUGCCUUCAUGAUAUUUAACGUGCAGGUGAUAAACGCAUGUCGACUCAGCUCGGGUACAUAGUGAACUUUUACCACAGUAUUGUCCACGUCGGUGCUUAUGGUGUCAAUGAGUGUUUCGCUAUACUGUGUGAAAUGCGUUGGCUUAGUUACAUAUUGGUUCAAUGUGUGGCUUGUCAGAAAGUCUAAUAUCUUUUUGGUGUUACUAUCUGUAAUAUUCAAGAGGUUAAUGUUAAAGUCUCCUAACAAUACUACAUUAUUACACCAUGAUAAACAACUCAAACUCUCAGCCAAAGCAUCUAUAAAUAUAUCUACGUUAAGCCAAGGCGGUCUGUAUGCAGUACACACCAGUAACUUUUUCCCAUUGACAUUUGCGCAUAACCACAUUUGCUCAACAAGCGGAGCCGGUGGAUGAGUUAGUGUACGGACAACAACGCCUCGUCGUAUAUAGAACCCAACCCCACCGCCGCGCGAGCGCACAGCGGGCGGGCGGGGAAUAUGACGCAAUCGGUAGCCAGUUACCGAACGGCGCGCGGCCCUCUUCACCGUCCCUCAACCAAGUCUCAUUUAUUGCCAUGAUAUCUACUUCAUGUCGCUCCAUGGCGACUAUAAAUUCAUCGUGGCGAGUACCUAGUGAGCCCACGUUUAAAAAUCCUAACUUAAAUUUACGU